GUUAAAUUAUCUUGUAGACAUCCAUUAGAGCUAAAUUUUAGAUGCAAAUUAUUUCUCCAAAUUGUCUGCUAUUAAUUGUUUUUCGGUGACCCUUAUUAAGUUAGCUAGAGGAACAAACACAACAUAUUGAUGAUUUGAUGUACUUAAAAGACCUUCUUAAAAUUAUUUAAUUGAUGUAAGGAGAGGAUGAAAUUUUUAUAAACAACUAUAAAGUGAGAAAUCCACUUGUUACAUACCACAAGGAAAAAUAUGAUUGAAAUUGUCAAAUAUGUUUAUGUUAUAAUUAUCUUUCUUUCCCUAUUACUUGUUUCAAGGGAAGUUGAUGCAUAUAGCGAAUGUGCAAGUGAUUCUGAUUGUCAAUCCAAGCAGUGUGAAGAUCCUUUCAAACCGAUGUGUGUCCAUCCACUCAGUGGCUUUGCACAAUGUAAAUGUGCUAUAGUUAUAGCAGAGUGGGAUUAGAUUUUAUAGCCAUAUGGUUUUGUAUUCAGUGCCAUAUACCUAAGAGAGGUUUCUAGUCGAUUAGUUAUUGUGUUGGUACCCUAUAAUUUAGUUUUUUUUUUUUUUUCUUUUUCUAAUUUCAAAAGCUUUGUAGUUUUGGUUUUGUACUUUAAGAUGAUGAUAAUGAAAUAAAAUAAGGAGAAAAAAUAAGGUAAAUUUUAAUA